AUUGCCCGUCAAAUAACCAGAAGGCAAAAACAAAUCCCACACCAUUUGGUUCAAACUGGAGCACACAAUGUUUGAAAGCUAUUUGAGGGUGAUGAACUCCAUUUUUCAUCCUUGGUUCAUCUUUCAAAAAUCAAAACUUUGCUUCGAAUAUUU